AGUGAACGCUGGCGGUAGGCCUAACACAUGCAAGUCGAACGGCAGCACAGUAAGAGCUUGCUCUUACGGGUGGCGAGUGGCGGACGGGUGAGGAAUACAUCGGAAUCUACUUUUUCGUGGGGGAUAACGUAGGGAAACUUACGCUAAUACCGCAUACGACCUACGGGUGAAAGCAGGGGAUCUUCGGACCUUGCGCGAUUGAAUGAGCCGAUGUCGGAUUAGCUAGUUGGCGGGGUAAAGGCCCACCAAGGCGACGAUCCGUAGCUGGUCUGAGAGGAUGAUCGGCCACACUGGAACGGAGACACGGUCCAGACUCCUGCGGGAGGCAGCAGUGGGGAAUAUUGGACAAUGGGCGCAAGCCUGGUCCAGCCAUACCGCGUGGGUGGAGGAGGCCUUCGGGUUGUAAUGCCCUUUUGUUGGGAAAGAAAAGCAGCAGGUUAAUACCCCGCUGUUCUGACGGUACCCAAAGAAUAAGCACCGGCUAACUUCGUG
rnacentral:rRNA from 1 species